GCUACAUAGGGCUGUUCUGAUUACAGCUGAACCUCCAGAGGAGCCGUGUAAGCUGGACCUCUGAAAGAAAGCUGUCAUAGGAAAUGAAAGAUUCCUUAGCUACACGAAGAGGAAAAAGGAGGCACAGCACAAAUGAGGGGAGAGAGAACCCCUCACUGGGACCACCUGAUGUUGGUGCAUUGCCAAUGUCAGCCAAGGGUCUCUACUCACUCACAAGGAGGAGGUGGAAUACUGGAGCAAGGUUAAAAGCUGGAGGAGUGGAGAUCAAAGCUUCACAGCUACUCUUAGUAAGUAGGAAGAGGAAGGGAGACUACAUGAAUGAACCAGCAGAGAAAGCAUAAUCUCCUUGGAAGCGAAUUGUAACAACCAAUUUAGAAAACAUCUGAUUUAGAUGGCCAGUUCUACUAGAUUAGAGGUAAUUUCUCCCAGGUCAGUUCUGAUGGUAGGAGGGAGAAAUCAGAAACUAUAUGGACACUUUGUUUUAGUGCUUAAUAGAGGAGACAAUGAAGAUCAGGCUAACAGGAGAACACAAAAUGAAGCUUACUUAGAGGAAAUGAAAACAGAAAAAGAAUGUGUGUAAAUGCUAGGUUACAGCCUAAGCUCAAUUUCGAGGUAGUUGUAGCAGAAAUGCUCAGUCAUGGCCCGAACCAGUGAUUGAGCACCUGGUGGGAAGGCAGGGCCAACCCAGGGCAGCUCAGGUGCAUGCAAUGCAUUGAGUGACUGGAAGGGGUGGAGCCAGGAUCCAUCCCUUCCGAGACCACAUUUAAGGGUUGGCAGUGGAAGUGAGGAGAUCUCACUGGAGAUCCCUCUGUACCUGAGGCCUUCCCAAGCCACGUGUUUGUGAAGCCAGAGGAACACUGGGAUUUGCUGACUUGAACCAUUGAAGUUACAGUCUCUGUGGAGCUUUUAAUACUGCUGAGGAAGCAAAGUCACCAUGAUUUCCCAAGCAGAGAUGACAGGAUGGAGCAGAGCUGCAAGCUGCUGAUGGGGGGACAUGCUCAGGCACACUGCUUUCAUGGGACCUGCCAGUGGUCACUGAACCACAGCUGAGCUGGGAAUAGAGCCUUUCGGUCUUCUUGUCAUCCUCUGGUGCCUAACAGGAGCUGAGGAUGAAUGAGACCUCUGUUUUUCCUGUAUUCACAGGCAAUAGCAAGAUUGUCUUCAUCUGAAUGUGGUGAAUCUUCAGGAAGUGGAGGAUUUUUUGUGUCAACCCUCUAUAUGGGCCAACAUCAGGAUUUGGGCAAAAGGAAAGAUAUUUGAAUGCAGUUCCCUAGAAAGCCCCAUCAGUCCAUGUCAUUAAAGUGCAGCCAGUGCAAUAGCAUCUAACUUUUUUUUUUUCCCCUUGCACAAAAGCCUUUGCUUUACUAUUGCUUUUAAAGCUACCACUGAAAUGGCUCAAUGUGAAAUUUUCCAUUGCAGAACAUCUGCUUCAAAAUAGUUUCCUUUGAAGUUUCAGCUAGAACAGUUCAAUUCCCAAGUGAAGAAGGCAUCUUUUUGCUCAAGUGAGGGAGGGGGGAGAAACAAACUUCUUCGUUCUAAAGAAAAACCUUGAAAAUAUAUUUUCUUAAAAUAGGAAUAUAAUGUUUGACAGAACAAUUGCUCUGUGCUCGAAGAUAACACUUGGCCCAUCAACAUGAAAACCAAAAACCUAUGUAAAUAUGGUCAAGUUAUAAACUUCAGGAAAACCCACCGAAAAACAGACUGAAAUUUACCAGUGUUUGGCAGCUCAUGCUUUCAAGCGAUGAGCAUGCUCUGUGAUCCCCUUGCUGCUCUUGUAUGUGCAACUGCUUCUGAUUUGCACAUCAGCUGAGCUGGUCUUUCUUGCGCAGGCUGUUACGAACAACUGUGGCACUGUAGGACAGGGGGACGGUAUCAUCUGUGCACCCAUUUCUUCUCCUUGUUAGCAACUGUGCAGACCACACAUUAAGCAAAUGCAAGUAAGAGUGAGUGAAGGCUGUGAUAAAGCAUGGAAAAAGAAAAAGGGGGAAAAAAAAAAAAAAAGCUGAGCAAAGCUUGAUGAGGAUACCUUUACAUCUGGCUUUUCUGAAUUUAUGAAUGCUUCAUUUUGCUGCUUUCCUGUUGGGUUUUUUUUUCCUCCUGCUUUGGCUGUCACAGGUCCCUGAAACUCUGAAGGCUGAAAUCUAGAAUGAAACUAUGAGGAAAACCUUUGUAUAUGUAACAGGUCCCCAACCCCCACACAAAUGAUUUUUUUUUUUUAACUUGUUUUCAGAAGGGAGAUGGGAGUAUGCACGGUGUCCCACUGCCAGCACUUUAAUGGAGAAUUUGUCUUUUUCCCCACCCUUUUCUGGGUAAGAUGGGUGAAGCUUCUUUUGCAAGAACAGCCUCUGGCUGCCCUUCUGGUAGCCUAGUUUGUUUGGCUUUGCUCUUGGGUAACUGCCUGCAAGCAAGCAAAAGCAUGGAAGCAGAAAGCAAGCAGCAAGCUGAUGCAAUGGACAGGGCCCUUUGGGAUCAACUUUACGAGAGCUAUGCAGAAUCAAAUAAAAUUGAAACAAGCUCUACCAAGCACAAGCUAAGUGUACAGGAUUCCCCUCUUCCUGCAUCCAAUUAGAACUAAACUAAAUACAGGGCAUCUACAGCAGCAUCUGAUGCUCAUCUGGGCACAGAUUCUGCUCUGAACGCUGGGUGGGCAGGGAGGGUACCCAUGCAGAUGAAGAUAAUGAGGGGAACACACAUCAUUUCCAGAGCUCAAGGUGAAGUAUGGAGAGCUGUAUUCCUGCUAUUCCAGUGUCAUGGAGGUCGUUAUAUUAAGAGUUUUAAUAUGCCAAAUUCCUGCGCUGCAAACACACGAGAAGUGCAAAGCUGUUAGAAGGGCUGGGACUGAUAAUGUCAGGUUCCACAGUGUGCCAUUCCAGUUCCCUUCUCCCUCUCUUUUGGGAUGUACAGAGAGGAGUUUCUCCAAAGCCAGAGCUAGCUCUUCUUGGCACAGGGUGUAGAACCAUUCCCUUAGAUUUGGAGCUGAUUCAAUUGCAAACGCCAUCCCACAAGUAACAAAAGAGUGCCUUAACAGCAGUGAUGGACAGCAGUUCCUCUCCUUUCACAGCUUCUGUCCCUGCAGACCACUAACACAGCCCACUCUAAACUCCAACACUUCCACC
ensembl:lncRNA